rnacentral:rRNA from 4 species
AUGAACGCUGGCGGCGUGCUUAACACAUGCAAGUCGAACGGUGAAAGAGAGCUUGCUCUCUGGAUCAGUGGCGAACGGGUGAGUAACACGUGAGCAAUCUGCCCCUGACUCUGGGAUAACAGUUGGAAACAGCUGCUAAUACCGGAUACGAGACGUGAAGGCAUCUUCAACGUCUGGAAAGAACUUCGGUCAGGGAUGAGCUCGCGGCCUAUCAGCUAGUUGGUGAGGUAAUGGCUCACCAAGGCGUCGACGGGUAGCCG